rnacentral:rRNA from 1 species
UGCGAGGAUCNCCAUCGAGGCUNAAAGUCNUGUAAUUGGAAUGACGGAAAUUUAAGCUCUUUCCGGAGUAUCAAUUGGAGGGCAAGUCUGGUGCCAGCAGCCGCGGUAAUUCCAGCUCCAAUAGCGUAUAUUAAACUUGUUGCAGUUAAAAAGCUCGUAGUUGAAUUUCUGCUGCAUCAUUUAUAUUCCUUAAUCGGUUUAUUUAUGUUGUGGCUUUUUCUGGUGAUUAUAUUUCGGUAUGAUUAUCCAGAUUGUUACUUUGAGAAAAUUAGAGUGCUUAAAGCAGGCUUUUGCCUUGAAUACUUUAGCAUGGAAUAACUAAGUAGGACUUUGGUUCUAUUUUGUUGGUUUAAGAGCCAAAGUAAUGAUUAAUAGGAACAGUUGGGGGCUUNCGUAAGUUAAAA